CCCGGUGACUUGGGUUUAACGGCCGCGGUACUCUGACCGUGCAAAGGUAGCAUAAUGAUUUGCCUCUUAAUUAGAGGCUGGAAUGAAGGAAUAUACGAAAUUGAAGCUGUCUCUGUGUCAUUUAUAUAAAUUGUCUUUUGGGUGAAGAGACCUGAAUUUUAAUGAAAGACAAAAAGACCCUAUUGAGCUUUAUUUAGAUAAGGAUUUUUUGAAUUAUUUACUAUUAUACUUUAAUAAAUUCGGUUGGGGCGACGAAGGAAUAUGCAAAUCUUCCUUUAAUAUAAAGAAUUUUAUUCUUUUAAUAGAUCUAUUUAAAUAGUAAGGAGAAAUAGCUACCAUAGGGAUAACAGGCUAAUCCCUCCGGAGAGUCCAAAUUGAUGGAGGGGGUUGGCACCUCGAUGUUGGCUUAAGAUAUCCGAAAGAUGUAGCAGUCUUUAAGGGUUGGUUUGUUCAACCAUUAAAAUCUU
rnacentral:rRNA from 1 species